AUGAACGCUGGCGGCAUGCCUUACACAUGCAAGUCGAACGGCAGCACGGGGGCAACCCUGGUGGCGAGUGGCGAACGGGUGAGUAAUACAUCGGAACGUGUCCUGUAGUGGGGGAUAGCCCGGCGAAAGCCGGAUUAAUACCGCAUACGCUCUACGGAGGAAAGGGGGGGAUCUUAGGACCUCCCGCUACAGGGGCGGCCGAUGGCAGAUUAGCUAGUUGGUGGGGUAAAGGCCUACCAAGGCGACGAUCUGUAGCUGGUCUGAGAGGACGACCAGCCACACUGGACUGAGACACGGCCCAGACUCUACGGGAGGCAGCAGUGGGGAAUUUGGACAAUGGGGCAACCCUGAUCCAGCAAUGCCGCGUGUGUGAGAAGGCCUUCGGGUUGUAAAGCACUUUUGUCCGGAAAGAAAACGCCGUGGUUAAUACCCGUGGCGGAUGACGGUACCGGAAGAAUAAGCACCGGCUAACUACGUGCCAGCAGCCGCGGUAAUACGUAGGGUGCAAGCGUUAAUCGGAAUUACUGGGCGUAAAGCGUGCGCAGGCGGUCCGCUAAGACAGAUGUGAAAUCCCCGGGCUUAACCUGGGAACUGCAUUUGUGACUGGCGGGCUAGAGUAUGGCAGAGGGGGGUAGAAUUCCACGUGUAGCAGUGAAAUGCGUAGAGAUGUGGAGGAAUACCGAUGGCGAAGGCAGCCCCCUGGGCCAAUACUGACGCUCAUGCACGAAAGCGUGGGGAGCAAACAGGAUUAGAUACCCUGGUAGUCCACGCCCUAAACGAUGUCAACUAGUUGUCGGGUCUUCAUUGACUUGGUAACGUAGCUAACGCGUGAAGUUGACCGCCUGGGGAGUACGGUCGCAAGAUUAAAACUCAAAGGAAUUGACGGGGACCCGCACAAGCGGUGGAUGAUGUGGAUUAAUUCGAUGCAACGCGAAAAACCUUACCUACCCUUGACAUGUAUGGAAUCCUGCUGAGAGGUGGGAGUGCCCGAAAGGGAGCCAUAACACAGGUGCUGCAUGGCUGUCGUCAGCUCGUGUCGUGAGAUGUUGGGUUAAGUCCCGCAACGAGCGCAACCCUUGUCCCUAGUUGCUACGCAAGAGCACUCUAGGGAGACUGCCGGUGACAAACCGGAGGAAGGUGGGGAUGACGUCAAGUCCUCAUGGCCCUUAUGGGUAGGGCUUCACACGUCAUACAAUGGUCGGAACAGAGGGUCGCCAACCCGCGAGGGGGAGCCAAUCCCAGAAAACCGAUCGUAGUCCGGAUCGCACUCUGCAACUCGAGUGCGUGAAGCUGGAAUCGCUAGUAAUCGCGGAUCAGC
rnacentral:rRNA from 1 species